rnacentral:siRNA from 1 species
GCGGCGACGUGGGUGGUUCGC